AUGAACGCUAGCUACAGGCUUAACACAUGCAAGUCGAGGGGCAGCAUGGUCUUAGCUUGCUAAGGCCGAUGGCGACCGGCGCACGGGUGAGUAACACGUAUCCAACCUGCCGUCUACUCUUGGACAGCCUUCUGAAAGGAAGAUUAAUACAAGAUGGCAUCAUGAGUCCACAUGUUCACAUGAUUAAAGGUAUUCCGGUAGACGAUGGGGAUGCGUUCCAUUAGAUAGUAGGCGGGGUAACAGCCCACCUAGUCUUCGAUGGAUAGGGGUUCUGAGAGGAAGGUCCCCCACAUUGGAACUGAGACACGGUCCAAACUCCUACGGGAGGCAGCAGUGAGGAAUAUUGGUCAAUGGGCGAGAGCCUGAACCAGCCAAGUAGCGUGAAGGAUGACUGCCCUAUGGGUUGUAAACUUCUUUUAUAAAGGAAUAAAGUCGGGUAUGGAUACCCGUUUGCAUGUACUUUAUGAAUAAGGAUCGGCUAACUCCGUGCCAGCAGCCGCGGUAAUACGGAGGAUCCGAGCGUUAUCCGGAUUUAUUGGGUUUAAAGGGAGCGUAGAUGGAUGUUUAAGUCAGUUGUGAAAGUUUGCGGCUCAACCGUAAAAUUGCAGUUGAUACUGGAUAUCUUGAGUGCAGUUGAGGCAGGCGGAAUUCGUGGUGUAGCGGUGAAAUGCUUAGAUAUCACGAAGAACUCCGAUUGCGAAGGCAGCCUGCUAAGCUGCAACUGACAUUGAGGCUCGAAAGUGUGGGUAUCAAACAGGAUUAGAUACCCUGGUAGUCCACACGGUAAACGAUGAAUACUCGCUGUUUGCGAUAUACAGCAAGCGGCCAAGCGAAAGCGUUAAGUAUUCCACCUGGGGAGUACGCCGGCAACGGUGAAACUCAAAGGAAUUGACGGGGGCCCGCACAAGCGGAGGAACAUGUGGUUUAAUUCGAUGAUACGCGAGGAACCUUACCCGGGCUUAAAUUGCAGAUGAAUUACGGUGAAAGCCGUAAGCCGCAAGGCAUCUGUGAAGGUGCUGCAUGGUUGUCGUCAGCUCGUGCCGUGAGGUGUCGGCUUAAGUGCCAUAACGAGCGCAACCCUUGCCGAUAGUUACUAACAGGUCAUGCUGAGGACUCUGUCGGGACUGCCAUCGUAAGAUGUGAGGAAGGUGGGGAUGACGUCAAAUCAGCACGGCCCUUACGUCCGGGGCUACACACGUGUUACAAUGGGGGGUACAGAGGGCCGCUACCACGCGAGUGGAUGCCAAUCCCAAAAACCUCUCUCAGUUCGGACUGGAGUCUGCAACCCGACUCCACGAAGCUGGAUUCGCUAGUAAUCGCGCAUCAGCCACGGCGCGGUGAAUACGUUCCCGGGCCUUGUACACACCGCCCGUCAAGCCAUGGGAGCCGGGGGUACCUGAAGUGCGUAACCGCGAGGAGCGCCCUAGGGUAAAACUGGUGACUGGGGCU
rnacentral:rRNA from 1 species